AUUUUUUCUGAUACUUCAUGUUAAAAAUUAAAGUAAUAUCAAUUAUACUUUUUUCUAUAGACUUUUAACUGAAAGCUUUUGUAAAAACUAGAUACUAUUAUAAAUAGAAGAUCUUAUGGAUUGGCAAAUACCUGAUCCAGACAUGCGAGUUGCGAACAGAUUAAGUAAUUGAGUGAAGUUGAUUGGUCCAGGAGCUUCACUUAACAUAUCGUCGAGUUCCUUGUCAGUAACAAGACGACCAACGGAGUCGAAACACGCACGGAGGUCAUUCUUUCCAAUUAUACCAUCCUUAUCUGCAUCCAUAAGUUGGAAUGCCUAAAAACAUAAUUCCAAGAAUUUACAAUUUAUUUGCUCUAUACAUAAUGAAUUAACACGGUUUUAGUUGUAAUUUAUUGUUUGUCAUCUCUUUUAUAUAAACACUGAUGAAUUGGUUGCUUCAUAAAUAAUUUAAAAAUAUUGUAAAAUUAUAACAAACAUGUGAUUUAAGUCGUUAAUGGUCAAAGAAUCUUUAAACUUCGACGAUCUGAUAACGGGGCGUGCGAGGCAAGUCAAUAUAAGGACGGACGGAGACAGAUAUGUAUAAAAGACCUGAAUCAUUAUUAUUGAAGAAUAUUUAAAAAGAAACUAAAAUUACCAUUUUGUUAUUUUUCAUUUUCCUUUUCUAUUGUCAUGGAGAAUUUUUCCUCAAACUUUCUUCCACUUAUUAAGAAAUAUUUUCUACACAUAUAAUGUGUUUAUAUAUAGAAGAUACAUAAUAAGUAAAAAAAUUUUGUAGUAUUGUGGUGGUGACUAACGAAUAGUAACAGCAGUUUUAUUCUGUUGAAAAGGCUUACUCAAAUACGAUAAUCAACUUUGUUUCUUAAUUGGUACUAUAUUUACAGAUAUUUAUUGUAUAGAAUAUUGUAUAAUUUCAGAAAAAUAAAUAUGCUACAUAUGUAUACAUGUGCAGAUGUUCGAAUUUAGAUGGUCGGGAGGAAAUGAAUUGAAAUGAUCUGUCUAUAUUAUUAAUAAAGAAAUUAUUAUUCUGUUCAAUUUUUAGUCUUGAGUAGUUAUCGUUUAUUUGUUAACACGUCUCUGUUUCUACUCGUUUUAAGCAGAAGUAUUAGAAAACCAUCAAUACAACGCAUAUGCAAGAUAUUUAAGUUUAUCUUCCUCUCUUUCUUAUUUUCUAGAAAGGAGCAAUUUAAUUUUUAUGAAUUGCAGCUAAAAUUAUAAUACAUCGAAAACUUCCUACAGCAAUACAUAAUAUGGAAAGAAGAAUUAUUACAGCGUGUGGACGAUUAUCUUUUGUGGAAAUAAUGAAACGUGUUGUGCUACUAAUUGAAAAGAAUGUUAUUUCGUACUAGUUCCAAAAGUUAAGUAAAAAAAUUAGUUUACAUGAUCUUCAGUACUCUUGAAGAGUUUUUUUAUGCGUGAAUUAUAUGUUUCAUUACAUAUACUACAAUGUAUUUUGUAUAACAUUUAAACUACAAACUUUUAUAUAUUGCUGUGACCUGGAUCGUUGAAUUUAUGAUUAAAGUUAAGUGGUCUAUACAAACAAAUAAAAUGUACAAUUCCAUUGAAUAAAGCAAAGUUGAGUCUUAUUGCAUUAACCUAUU